rnacentral:rRNA from 1 species
UACGGGGGGGAGCAAGCGUUGUUCGGAUUUACUGGGCGUAAAGGGCGCGUAGGCGGCGUGACAAGUCACUUGUGAAAUCUCCGGGCUUAACUCGGAGCGGUCAAGUGAUACUGUCGUGCUAGAGUGCGGAAGGGGCUACUGGAAUUCUCGGUGUAGCGGUGAAAUGCGUAGAUAUCGAGAGGAACACCUGCGGCGAAGGCGGUACUCUGGGCCGGAACUGACGCUGAGGAGCGAAAGCGUGGGUAGCAAACAGG